CACGUAGGGCGCAAGCGUUGUCCGGAAUUAUUUGGGCGUAAAGAGCUACGUAGGCGGUCUGUUGCGUCCGCUGUGAAAACUCGGGGCUUAACCCCGAGCCUGCAGUGGAUACGGGCAGACUAGAGGUAGGUAGGGGGAGAAUGGAAUUCCCGGUGUAGCGGUGAAAUGCGCAGAUAAUCGGGAGGAACACCGGUGGCGAAGGCGGUUCUCUGGGGCCUUACCCUUGACGGCUGAGGAGCG
rnacentral:rRNA from 1 species